rnacentral:lncRNA from 1 species
GCUUUUCAGGCAGCUGGCCCGGCCAUCAUUACUGCUUCCUCGCCAGCGCUGCCCCUUGGCCCCAUGGACUCCCUGUGUGGCUCCAAGUUCUGGUUAACCUUAUCUGAUGACCGAGCCCCAGAAAGUUCAGAAAUCCAAUGAUCCUGACCAUGAACCUGUCUGAAGGCGACACCAGGCAUGUGUACACUGGGGAUGCGUAAACGCAUGGGUGGUGAGCACUUGAUGGGGAAGUUGGUGAGAUCCUGUCCCAAGGCUGUUUGACCAGCUGGGAAGAUGAAGAUGGGGCAGGUGGGGAUUCGCUGGCUCCUCUGAGGAGGUUUCCAGACUCCUUUUCUCUGGCUCUCUCUGUGCUCCAGAUGUAAGGUACUUAGCAACAAUUCUCUGUCUAGGUCCGUGGGCCCCCAUUGGUCAGGCCUAUGCUCCCUUUGCUGGGCAUGUCCUGGUCCCUUGCAUGCUGUGAUCCCUUGGAGUUCCAGCUCCCACGUCCCCUUCUGGGUUCUACCCAGCCCCAAAUUCAGUCACCCACAAGCUGUGUGACCUGGAGCUAGUCACUCACCCUCUCCAGUCUGGAGCAGCGUUUAGGGGAAGCUCUGGAGCCCCCUUCAAAUCUGGAGUUGCCCAGUCUUGGGUUUGGGGGCCAAAGCCUUGAUUCAGGGUCCCAGAGUAUGGGAGUCUCCCAUGCUUCCUCUUGGGCCACUUUGCCUAGCAGGAGAGUGAGGAGCCAUGAGAGUGUCGGUGAUGGGCAAAGCUCAACUGUCCAUGUACUUGGGCUCUCAAAUGGAGAUGGUGACAUGCAGACCUCCGGAGAAGCCGAAGUGGCAGAGGGCAGGAGGUGGGCACCUCUUAGCUUACCGAGCCCGAGCACAUCCUGUCCUCCCAGGAACCCUGCCAGGCCAAGGCCCAGUGUGGUCCCCUCCCUCCAUUCCAUUCCAGCAAGGGUACUUGACCGGGGUGCUGCACCACUGUGACCUCUAAGCUCUUGGCUUUUAUUGAGAUUUGUUCCCUUGUGACCUGAGGCUGGCUUCUCACAUCCCUUGGGCCUGGGUUGAGGGCCAAGACUUAGGACAGAAAGAGAGUCAGGGAAGUGGCCUUGGGAAGGGAGCUUUGCCAAGCCUGCCUUCUGGCCCACACCUUAACCAACCUUGAACCUUGGAUUACCUGCUGGUCUUUAGGGAGGUGGUCAGUCCCCAGCAGGAGCUACAGCUGACCCACCCAGGGAGGCAGGGACAGAGGGCCUGGGCUGUGCGCCCCUCUGUUGGGAGCGAUGCGCUAUAGAUCGCUAUGGCCAGGCCUAACUCACCUCCUCCCUGCCGUGGAGGUUGUGGUGGAGCAAGGCCUGGCAAUAAAGAGGACUGUCUUCCUUCCCACUCAUCCGGCAAAAACAAUCAGACAUUAUCUCCUACAGACCCUAGCCAUUCUCCCUGUUCCAAUCAGGCAUGCCCUUUCGGUUUCCUUAUCUACACUAUAAAUAAAGGCGCAGAGGGUACAAGCCUCCCAUUUUCUCUCAUCAAGACAAAGAGUUUCCACCUGGCCUCAGCUAUAUAGUCUUCUUUGCCUUAUUCUUUAAGUUUCUUAAUCUCUCACCAUCAUUUCACCCCCUACUCCACUAGCACACCACACCAUGGGGCUGCCCCAGGGCCUGAUCCCUGGGCGUGGUGGGCAGGACAAGACCUGAGCGAGCCCUUGCAAGGGUGGCUGGCCUGUCCCCUCCCCAGCUGGAGCUGCUGUGUUUGAGGCUGGGUCCCUGGGGCAGUGCCACAGGGCUCAGAGGUCGUGGGAAACCAGGCUAAAGCCUGGAUUUGCUUUCUCCUCCUGACUGGAUAUUCAGGUUUCUAGUCCAGUGGCUCCCCAAACCCCAGCUGGUUCUCUCCCCGGUGCUGGCAGCCCCUUCCUUCCCUGGCUCUGUGGGAAGCAGUGCAGAAAUGAGGUGGGCCAGGCUGGGCUGCACAGAUACAAAAAGACUUAAUAUUUCAGCUAAGGCAAGGGGGGUUGGGGUCGUGCCGAGCCCUAUAGAGUGGCAGGAAGCACCACAUAAUGGGUUGGGGGCUGAAACUCCGGCUCUUCUGCCUGAGUUCAAAUCCUGCAUCAGCCAGGGUCUCAGGUGUCACAAACAGGACAUGAUAAUCCUGGCACUCUGUGGAGCUCCAUUACCAGAGCUCUGGCUCUUCCAAAGACUUCCUCUUCCGGCCCAGGCAGAUCAGCAAGGUGAGGGAAGUCAGAGUGUGCCCUUUCCCUCCUGCACCCACAUUUCUGCUGAGAUAAAUGACCUUGUCAGUCGGUCCUUUCCAAGUGACAAUCUGUAAACUUGGGAGCUGCAAGUUAUGGGCAGCCCCUCCCCUCCCACACAGGAUUAAGGAAGUAAUGACUAUUCUCGCAACAGAGGCGGCCACAGGCUGGGCCUGGGACUGGGAAGUCCCUGGCAGAGUUAGGGCCACGGGCUGGGAGUCCCCACUGCUGCCUGCUGUGGGCUUGUGUCCCCAGGGGUCUCAGCUGCUGUGCCCC